GACGAACCGUACGAACGUUAUUCGGAAUCACUGGGCUUAAAGGGUGCGUAGGCGGCGCGACAAGUUGGGUGUGAAAUCCCUCGGCUCAACCGAGGAACUGCGCCCAAAACUGUCGUGCUCGAGGGAGACAGAGGUGAGCGGAACUUAGGGUGGAGCGGUGAAAUGCGUAGAUAUCCUAAGGAACACCGGUGGCGAAAGCGGCUCACUGGGUCUCUUCUGACGCUGAGGCACGAAAGCUAGGGUAGCGAACGGG
rnacentral:rRNA from 1 species